GCCUAAAGCGUCCGUAGCCGGCUUUGUAAGUUUUCGGUUAAAUCCAUAUGCUCAACAUAUGGGCCGCCGGGAAUACUGCAAAGCUAGGGAGUGGGAGAGGUAGACGGUACUCCGUAGGAAGGGGUAAAAUCCUUUGAUCUAUGGAUGACCACCUGUGGCGAAGGCGGUCUACCAGAACAUGUUCGACGGUGAGGGAUGAAAGCUGGGGGAGCAAACCGGAUUAGAUACCCGGGUAGUCCCAGCUGUAAACUAUGCAAACUCAGUGAUGCAUUGGCUUGUGGCCAGUGCAGUGCCGCAGAGAAGUCGUUAAGUUUGCCGCCUGGGAAGUACGUACGCAAGUAUGAAACUUAAAGGAAUUGGCGGGGGAGCACCACAAGGGGUGAAGCCUGCGGUUCAAUUGGAGUCAACGCCAGAAAUCUUACCCGGAGAGACAGCAGGAUGAAGGUCAAGCUGAAGACUUUACCAGACAAGCUGAGAAGUGGUGCACGGCCGUCGCCAGCUCGUGCCGUGAGAUGUCCUGUUAAGUCAGGUAACGAGCGAGAUCCUUGCCUCUAGUUGCCACCAUUACUCUCAGGAGUAGUGGGGCGAAUUAGCGGGACUGCCGUAGUUAAUACGGAGGAAGGAGAGGGCCACGGCAGGUCAGUAUGCCCCGAA
rnacentral:rRNA from 1 species